AUCCAGUUGAUGAGUCUCAAGUAGGACGAAAUACGAGUCCUGGAU
rfam:Schistosoma rodhaini strain Burundi genome assembly, scaffold: SROB_scaffold0000500